CGGAGCCGUAGCGAAAGCGAGUCUGAAUAGGGCGCAUAAGUAACAGGUCGUAGACCCGAAACCAGGUGAUCUACCCAUGUCCAGGAUGAAGGUAAGGUAAUACUUACUGGAGGUCCGAACCCACGCACGUUGAAAAGUGCGGGGAUGAGGUGUGGGUAGCGGAGAAAUUCCAAUCGAACUUGGAGAUAGCUGGUUCUCUCCGAAAUAGCUUUAGGGCUAGCCUCGAGGUAAAGAGUCAUGGAGGUAGAGCACUGUUUGGACUAGGGGCCCUUCUCGGGUUACCGAAUUCAGAUAAACUCCGAAUGCCAUGUACUUAUACUCGGGAGUCAGACUGCGAGUGAUAAGAUCCGUAGUCGAAAGGGAAACAGCCCAGACCACCAGUUAAGGUCCCCAAAUAUAUGUUAAGUGGAAAAGGAUGUGGGGUUGCUUAGACAACCAGGAUGUUGGCUUAGAAGCAGCCACCAUUGAAAGAGUGCGUAAUAGCUCACUGGUCGAGUGACCCCGCGCCGAAAAUGUACCGGGGCUAAACAUAUUACCGAAACUGUGGAUGAACCUCUUCGGAGGUUCGUGGUAGGAGAGCGUUCUAAGGGCGGUGAAGUCAGACCGGAAGGACUGGUGGAGCGCUUAGAAGUGAGAAUGCCGGUAUGAGUAGCGAAAGAAGGGUGAGAAUCCCUUCCACCGAAUAUCUAAGGUUUCCUGAGGAAGGCUCGUCCGCUCAGGGUUAGUCGGGACCUAAGCCGAGGCCGAUAGGCGUAGGCGAUGGACAACAGGUAGAGAUUCCUGUACCAGUGCUAAUUGUUUAACCGAUGGGGUGACACAGAAGGAUAGGGAAUCGCACGAAUGGAAAUGUGCGUCCAAGCAGUGAGUGUGAGAAGUAGGCAAAUCCGCUUCUCGCGAAGCAUGAGCUGUGAUGGGGAAGGAAAUUAAGUACGGAAGUUCCUGAUUUCACGCUGUCAAGAAAAGCCUCUAGGAAGAGUAGUACUGCCCGUACCGCAAACCGACACAGGUAGAUGAGGAGAGAAUCCUAAGGUGAGCGAGAGAACUCUCGUUAAGGAACUCGGCAAAAUGACCCCGUAACUUCGGGAGAAGGGGUGCUCUAUUAGGGUGCAAGCCCGAGAGAGCCGCAGUGAAUAGGCCCAGGCGACUGUUUAGCAAAAACACAGGUCUCUGCAAAACCGUAAGGUGACGUAUAGGGGCUGACGCCUGCCCGGUGCUGGAAGGUUAAGAGGAGUGCUUAGCUUCGGCGAAGGUACGAAUUGAAGCCCCAGUAAACGGCGGCCGUAACUAUAACGGUCCUAAGGUAGCGAAAUUCCUUGUCGGGUAAGUUCCGACCCGCACGAAAGGCGCAACGAUCUGGGCACUGUCUCAACGAGAGACUCGGUGAAAUUAUAGUACCUGUGAAGAUGCAGGUUACCCGCGACAGGACGGAAAGACCCCGUGGAGCUUUACUGCAACCUGAUAUGGAAUGUUUGUACCGCUUGUACAGGAUAGGUAGGAGCCGAAGAGACGUGUGCGCUAGCAUACGAGGAGGCAAUGGUGGGAUACUACCCUGGCUGUAUGACCAUUCUAACCCGCCACGCUUAGCGCGUGGGGAGACAGUGUCAGGUGGGCAGUUUGACUGGGGCGGUCGCCUCCUAAAGAGUAACGGAGGCGCCCAAAGGUUCCCUCAGAAUGGAUGGAAAUCAUUCGCAGAGUGUAAAGGCACAAGGGAGCUUGACUGCGAGACUGACAAGUCGAGCAGGGACGAAAGUCGGGCUUAGUGAUCCGGUGGUUCCGCAUGGAAGGGCCAUCGCUCAACGGAUAAAAGCUACCCCGGGGAUAACAGGCUUAUCUCCCCCAAGAGUCCACAUCGACGGGGAGGUUUGGCACCUCGAUGUCGGCUCGUCGCAUCCUGGGGCUGUAGUCGGUCCCAAGGGUUGGGCUGUUCGCCCAUUAAAGCGGCACGCGAGCUGGGUUCAGAACGUCGUGAGACAGUUCGGUCCCUAUCCGUCGCGGGCGCAGGAAAUUUGAGAGGAGCUGUCCUUAGUACGAGAGGACCGGGAUGGACACACCGCUGGUGUACCAGUUGUUCCGCCAGGAGCAUCGCUGGGUAGCUAUGUGUGGCAGGGAUAAACGCUGAAAGCAUCUAAGCGUGAAGCCCCCCUCAAGAUGAGAUUUCCCAUUUCUUCGGAAAGUAAGAUCCCUGAAAGAUGAUCAGGUAGAUAGGUUUGGAGUGGAAGUGUAGCGAUACAUGGAGCGGACAAAUACUAAUCGAUCGAGGACUUAACCAA
rnacentral:rRNA from 1 species